AUACGGAGGGUGCAAGCGUUACUCGGAAUCACUGGGCGUAAAGCGCGCGCAGGCGGCUAUUUAAGUUGGAUGUGAAAGCCUACGGCUCAACCGUAGAACUGCAUCCAAAACUAUUUAGCUAGAGUGUGGGAGAGGAAGAUGGAAUUAGUUGUGUAGGGGUAAAAUCCGUAGAGAUAACUAGGAAAACCAAAAGCGAAGGCAAUCUUCUGGAACACUACUGACGCUGAGGCGCGAAAGCGUGGGGAGCAAACGGGAUUAGAAACCCUAGUAGUCC
rnacentral:rRNA from 1 species